GGCUCGCUCGGAUGAACAGAAGCUUUUCCGUUUCUCGUCGAAGCGCCAGUGGGUUGGGACGAUCCAAAGCGAACGACGAAGAAGAAGGCGAAUGGCGAUGGAACGAGACGCGCUCGCCGAGUCGCUCAACGAUCUCUUCCUCAACCUAUCCACCAUGGUCAAAUCCGAGCUCCAGGGCGCGAACAAUCAUCUGGAGCUGCUGGAGAAGAUGAACCUGAGGGUGGGUGAGGAGUACAAGGAGUUCGGCGACGUGGCGUCGGGGCUGAGGGUGUUCGUGGAGCAGCUCAAGUCCAAGAGCGGGAGCUUCGACGAGUACGUGCGGCAGAUCGAGGCGAUCGAGGAUCAGGUGACGCACUUCGAGUCCGUGGUCUCCAUGCUCGACAAGUACGUGUCCCAGUUGGAAUCCAAAGUGCAUUAUGAAUGGACUAUGUAAACAAGUGAAUUCCUGCCUCCCUGUCUUAUAAAAGCAUCAGAAUGUCAGCUGCUCCACAGAUCAAGGAUGCAAUUGAUCUUCCCGAUGAAAUAGAUCGGUUAAGUUAAAAAAAUCGAAAAACACGGUCUAGUUGCUCGAGGCACAAAGACUGGGUGGGAUGCAGUCUGCUCUGCUGUUAUUGCCCCGAUGGUGCUGUAAUAUACCAGUGCAAGUUUGGUUAGAAGUGAAGGCAUCAUGUUGCUCCAUAUCACUUAAUCUGAGAGCAAUUUUUAUGGGUAAGACCCUUAUCAGCUAUUUCCUCAAUUGCGGUUUUGAACCAUGCAUAGGAAAUGAUGACAUUUGAUUGAAUGAGUGCACACAUGGUGUAGGCGAAACAGGUCACUCUGAAUUUGCUUGCAUAGCAAUCAAAUAUAGGAUGUCUCGACUCGUGUGCUGAAGUCUCCUACGGAUCAAAGUGUUUACGGAAACUUUUGUUGGAUGACGAGAGACUCGCGCAUUUGAUGGACUGAUCAUCAUGAGCAGAUUCAGGCUUUAGAUGGAAGUUCUAAUUCUAAUGAUGGUGGUGGAUUUUGACAGCUUUUUGGCUGUUCCAUCUUGUAUCUUCUCUGUUCCAGUUUUUGAAUCAUCAGACCACAUAAACUGGUUUUUUUCAUUCCAUUUGCCCCUUCAAAGCAGCUUGGCGAUGUAAUAUCAGGGGAUCAGCUAUACUUUUUCGAGGAGUGGCUUAGUCAAUUGCCUGUGGAACCUGAAAAUUAACUAAGAAAGGUAGUUCUCAGAUUUUUAGAUGAAA